rnacentral:sRNA from 1 species
GCUGGGCGCAGUGGCAUAUGCCUGUAAUCCCAGCACCUUGGGAGGCUGAGGCAGGAGGAUGGCAAGUUCAAAGUCAGCCUCAGCAAAAGCGAGGUGCUAAGCAACUCAGUGAGACCCUGUCUCUA